rnacentral:rRNA from 1 species
UACGUAGGUGACAAGCGUUGUCCGGAUUCAUUGGGCGUAAAGCGUGGGCAGGCGGCCCGUUAAGUCGGCCGUGAAAGCGCCGGGCUCAACUCGGCGAGGACGGGCGAGACUGACGGGCUCGAGGUUGGCAGAGGGCGGUGGAAUUCCGGGUGUAGUGGUGGAAUGCGUAGAGCUCCGGAGGAACACCAGUGGCGAAGGCGGCCGCCUGGGCCAAUACUGACGCUGAGCCGCGAAAGCGUGGGGAGCGAGCCGG